AGUGAACGCUGGCGGUAGGCCUAACACAUGCAAGUCGAGCGGCAGCACAUUAUGCGCUUGCUCUUACGGGUGGCGAGUGGCGGACGGGUGAGGAAUAGAUCGGCAUCUACUUUUUCGUGGGGGAUAACGUAGGGAAACUUAUGCUAAUACCUCAUACGACUUACGGGUGAAAGCAGGUGUUCUUGGUACCUUUGGCGAUUUAAUGGGCCGGUGUCGGAGUAGCUAGUUGGCUGGGGAAAGGCCCACCAAGGCGACGAUACAUAGCUGGCCUGAGAGGGUGGCGGGACACAGGGGGACUGAGACACGGCCCAAACGCCUACGGGAGGCAGCAGUAGGGAAUAUGCGGAAAUGGACGAAAGUCUGACCGAGCAACGCCGCGGGAGUGAAGAAGGUUUUCGGAGCGUAAAACGCGGUUAGUAGAGAAGAACGUUGGGGACAGUGGAAAGCUCAUAAAGGGACGGUAACUACCCAGAAAGGGACGGCUAACUACGUG
rnacentral:rRNA from 1 species